rnacentral:rRNA from 1 species
AACGAACGCUGGCGGCAGGCCUAACACAUGCAAGUCGAACGCUCCGCAAGGGGAGUGGCGCACGGGUGAGUAACGCGUGGGAAUAUGCCCUUCGGUUCGGAAUAACACAGGGAAACUUGUGCUAAUACCGGAUGCGAUCUACGGAUGAAAGAUUUAUCGCCGAGUGAGUAGCCCGCGUAGGAUUAGCUAGUUGGUGAGGUAAUGGCUCACCAAGGCGACGAUCCUUAGCUGGUCUGAGAGGAUGAUCAGCCACACUGGGACUGAGACACGGCCCAGACUCCUACGGGAGGCAGCAGUGGGGAAUAUUGGACAAUGGGCGAAAGCCUGAUCCAGCCAUGCCGCGUGAGUGAUGAAGGCCUUAGGGUUGUAAAGCUCUUUCGCCAGGGAAGAUAAUGACGGUACCUGGAAAAGAAGCCUCGGCUAACUCCGUGCCAGCCGCCGCGGUAA